rnacentral:rRNA from 1 species
UACGUAGGGUGCGAGCGUUGUCCGGAAUUAUUGGGCGUAAAGAGCUCGUAGGCGGUCUGUCGCGUCGGCUGUGAAGACCCGGAGCUCAACUCCGGGCCUGCAGUCGAUACGGGCAGACUGGAGUUCGGCAGGGGAGACUGGAAUUCCUGGUGUAGCGGUGAAAUGCGCAGAUAUCAGGAGGAACACCGGUGGCGAAGGCGGGUCUCUGGGCCGAUACUGACGCUGAGGAGCGAAAGCGUGGGGAGCGAACAGG